GGAGAGGUUCCCGAGUGGCCAAAGGGAGCAGACUGUAAAUCUGUUGGCACCGCCUUCGGUGGUUCGAAUCCACCCCUCUCCACCA
rnacentral:tRNA from 1 species